GACGAACGCUGGCGGCGUGCUUAACACAUGCAAGUCGAACGGAAAGGCCCUGCUUUUGUGGGGUGCUCGAGUGGCGAACGGGUGAGUAACACGUGAGUAACCUGCCCUUGACUUUGGGAUAACUUCAGGAAACUGGGGCUAAUACCGGAUAGGAGCUCCUGCUGCAUGGUGGGGUUGGAAAGUUUCGGCGGUUGGGGAUGGACUCUCGGCUUAUCAGCUUGUUGGUGGGGUAGUGGCUUACCAAGGCUUUGACGGGUAGCCGGCCUGAGAGGGUGACCGGCGACAUUGGGACUGAGAUACGGCACAGACUCCUACGGGAGGCAGCAGUGGGGAAUAUUGCACAAUGGGCGGAAGCCUGAUGCAGAAACGCCGCGUGCGGGAUGACGGACUUCGGGUUGUAAACCGCUUUCGCCUGUGACGAAGCGUGAGUGACGGUAAUGGGUAAAGAAGCAACGGCUAACUACGUG
rnacentral:rRNA from 1 species